AGAGUUUGAUCCUGGCUCAGGAUGAACGCUAGCGACAGGCUUAACACAUGCAAGUCGAGGGGCAGCAUGAUUUGUAGCAAUACAGAUUGAUGGCGACCGGCGCACGGGUGAGUAACGCGUAUGCAACUUACCUAUCAGAGGGGGAUAACCCGGCGAAAGUCGGACUAAUACCGCAUGAAGCAGGGGCCCCGCAUGGGGAUAUUUGCUAAAGAUUCAUCGCUGAUAGAUAGGCAUGCGUUCCAUUAGGCAGUUGGCGGGGUAACGGCCCACCAAACCGACGAUGGAUAGGGGUUCUGAGAGGAAGGUCCCCCACAUUGGUACUGAGACACGGACCAAACUCCUACGGGAGGCAGCAGUGAGGAAUAUUGGUCAAUGGGCGUAAGCCUGAACCAGCCAAGUCGCGUGAGGGAUGAAGGUUCUAUGGAUCGUAAACCUCUUUUAUAAGGGAAUAAAGUGCGGGACGUGUCCCGUUUUGUAUGUACCUUAUGAAUAAGGAUCGGCUAACUCCGUGCCAGCAGCCGCGGUAAUACGGAGGAUCCGAGCGUUAUCCGGAUUUAUUGGGUUUAAAGGGUGCGUAGGCGGCCUUUUAAGUCAGCGGUGAAAGUCUGUGGCUCAACCAUAGAAUUGCCGUUGAAACUGGGGGGCUUGAGUAUGUUUGAGGCAGGCGGAAUGCGUGGUGUAGCGGUGAAAUGCUUAGAUAUCACGCAGAACCCCGAUUGCGAAGGCAGCCUGCCAAGCCAUGACUGACGCUGAUGCACGAAAGCGUGGGGAUCAAACAGGAUUAGAUACCCUGGUAGUCCACGCAGUAAACGAUGAUCACUAGCUGUUUGCGAUACAGUGUAAGCGGCACAGCGAAAGCGUUAAGUGAUCCACCUGGGGAGUACGCCGGCAACGGUGAAACUCAAAGGAAUUGACGGGGGCCCGCACAAGCGGAGGAACAUGUGGUUUAA
rnacentral:rRNA from 1 species